CCGCUGACUUUUAAGCGAACCGUACUGAGACCACCUCCCGAGGUGGUCUCAGUUCGGUUCGUUUUAAAGGUGUCUGGGUACGGUUGGAGUGUUCACAUAUGCGCAAAAAAUGCUGAGUCAUCGGUCUGAGUUCGUUUAGAUGGCUGAAAGGGACCAAGUGUGAAAACACCCUUAUAUUCUACAUUAGCGAAUGAUGCUAAAUUAUUGGAAGUUCAGUUCUGUUGUCGUAGAACCGAGUUACCUGUAGCCUAAGAGAUGUUACUAUAGUGUCACUAUGGGCUCUGUUGUAGCAAUCAGAAACGCCUACUCAGAGACCCAGAGUUUAAGGAAUGUCCAGUCUAUAUUCGCUAAUAAACAGCAUGAUUUUGUGAUCAAAGACCAGGCGCAUUGUUCAAAAGGGUUGUUUUUCUAUUUCUUGAGUGUGUUUUGUACGUAACAUUCUUUAUUCCACUGCUCGGUUGAGUUCCCCAUUGUUCUGCGUUCUAUAAGGGUGUGCAUUGAAUAACCGCACGGCUAUGAAGUAGUUCCAUUGUUUUUGACCGUAUUACACUUGAAUAUUAAUUCGCCAAACUUGUUGUGAAGUUUAAAUGCACUGUCACGUUACAUACAAGCUGUAAAAUACAGACGUUCAGAUCAUAGUAACGUUUAGCAUAUGACAGAGGUGUCAUUUAGCUAGUUAGGUGGCAGUAGGCUAAGAAAAAUAGCAAUCUUUCAAAGUUAACGUUGAUCAGAAUCUUGGGAUAUGCCAGCUUGACAACGGGAGAUUAGAACUAACGACUGGCUUUUGGCCAUAGCAACCAUCCAUUUAGAACUAGUAACCGCAGUUUGAGAAAUUAGUUGAAAUGUGUCUGGGAAAAGUAGUUCUACAAACAAAACAGUUCUAGCGAUUAAAACAUUUAAAUUAGCACCGGAAACGAACACAACGCAGUGGCAACAGUGGAAUAAGCGGGAUAAUGGACUUCACGCCGUGCGGUUAUUCAAAGUUAAUGCACUUUUCUAGACGGAACGUCCCUCCGCUUCGCGUCGGGCCGUAUCACCGUCUAGAACGUGCAUUAACUUUGAAUAACCGCACGGCGUGUCGUCCAUUAUCCCGUACUUAAACAAUUGAGAAUGACAUCUGUCAUUCCUUGUAACAGCAAACAGCGUAUCAGUAUUUUGACAAUCAGUGCAUUUGAAGAAAUCUGCUUGCACAUGAGACCGUGUAUGGAAUACAGUGCUUCCACUAAACCUUGCUUUACGAAAACCUGUUUGUGACUAGCAUACUGUAGGCAAAAUGAGACUAACUUCACCGUUGUCUCAUAGACAGUUUAGUACAACUGGCAAAAAAUGAAUCACUUUAUUGGGUGUAAGAUCAGAACUAGCCUUGCAUUGUACUUUGCACUGGGUGUACGAUUGGGCUUUAUAAGUGUAAAGGUCCACACUGUGAUUACAAAAAGAAACAAAGCCUUGUUUAUAUACACAUGUUUACGCCAGUUGAAUCUGAGUCUUCUGUGGAGAGCAGGGGCGUAGCGUCCCAGAUAGCAAGCAUAGUCGGCCCGAUUCUGGCUGAGUGCCGGCAGUGUCGGCCGAGGCCCGGAUCGGCUGAAGCACAGCAAACACAGUCGGCCCGAUCCUGGCUGAGUGCUGCCACUGUCGGCGGAGCUUCAAUCGGCUGAGGCACUGUACCCCCGUUGAAUGGGCCGACACUGACAUGCAGUAGUUGGGCUGGUUACUUUGUUUCUUACUUGGCCCGAUUGUGGUUUGACGGGCUACUGCCGAUGUUCGAAGCAAGUUCGGCUGAAGAACAACAAACACUGUCGGCCCGAUCCUGGCUGAGUGCUGCCACUGUCGGUGGAGUUUCAGUCGGCUGAGGCACUGUACCCCCGUUGACUGGGCCGACACUGACACGCAGUAGUUGGGCUGAAUACUUUGCAUCUUACUUGGCCCGAUUAUGGUUUGAUGGGCUACUGCCGGAGUUCGGCAGACGGAUCUCAUACAGCGUGUGGGCCGAUACUUACAGAACGGACACUGAUCAGUAGCAUUGAUGUUGGCGGCAAAAUUGAAAUAGUAAACGGCAGACGGAAACUAAACGUACAUGGCCCGAUUCUGUAAAGUGACUGUCGGCCCAUUACAUGUGGAAGAGCGGUGGAACAAAUAUUAACUGAAGAUUGAAACCAGAACGGCGCGAAACUGUCUCGUUUUGGACACUGUCUGUGGCAGCACGGACCAGAGACCUGCUUCUUUGGAUGAAGCUUAGUGGUGGCGUUGGAAGACAGGAGAUAUAUGCUUUGGGUUUGCGUCAUCCACUACGUCAGCAAAGAACAGGAUCGGGGAAUGACUACAUGGCCAACUGCAUCUCGUGGAAGUUGUUCUGAAGAUGCGAUGCGUGAAGGAAGGAAGUCCACAAGCAUGUGUGCUUCAGGUGUGUAAAUGUGUUGACAUACCUUGUGUGUUAUAUAAUGUGUUCAGUCAUCAUCAUAACUGUAUAAGGAUGUGUCAGACAAUAAAUUAAUUUUGUUUUCUUUUGAAAUUUCAUGCAUUUCGGCUGGCUGAAUGGGAAGAACUCUUUGACCAACCCCCAACUGAGAGAGCUGAGCGAAGUGGCUAUCAGUAAGUCUAUUUGUGGGGACAGACUUACUCUGACAGAUGACAUCUUACAAACUAUGCUGUAGAUCUCAUAAUGAUCUUGCAAUAUGUAUUCUUUUAUAACUAAAUGCAGUUUGGAGAUAUUCCCCAGCUGCUAGUGAUGAUGCAACAUGUGUAGGCAAUAACUAAGCAGCAACAGAAAGAUAAGGCACUUUGUGUGUGUGUGUGUGUGUGUGUGUGUGUGUGUGUGUGUGUGUGUGUGUGUGUGUGUGUGUGUUUGUGUGUGGUAGCUGGCUAGGUUAUGGUACAUGGUAACCCACAGCCCACCCCGCUGACAUUGAAAUUACUCUUUUAGAGAGAGAGAGAGAGAGAGAGAGAGAGUGAUAGAGACAGAAUAUUUCUGUAAAUGUUUGACCAUGUUUAUUAUUUAAAAAAAAACAUUAUUUAUAGAAUGUUCAUUUGUUUUACUUAAUCUGUUAAAUUGUGUAGAAUUGGUAAUAAAGUAACUUUUUAAGCUUGGAUUUUUGUUCUAAUGUUUGAAUUAAUUUAGAUUUUACUUGCAAAGGUUGUAUUUGUUAGAAUUAUUAAUAAAAGUAACUUGUGCUUGAAUCACUAGUUCUGCAUUUGUGAUUAUUCUGGUAGUGCUUUUGGUACCUAGCCGACAUUCAGCCAACACUCAGUGAAAUCCGUUUUACAGUGCUCGGGCCACAAUAGGGCCGGGGACCAAGCCGACAUUCAGCCAACACUCAGUGAAAUCCGUUUUACAGUGCUCGGGCCACAAUAGGGCCGGGGACCAAGCCGACAUUCAGCCAACACUCAGUGAAAUCCGUUUUACAGUGCUCGGGCCACAAUAGGGCCGGGGACCAAGCCGACAUUCAGCCAACACUCACUGAAAUCUGUUUUACAGUGUGUGAGCCAGACCUGGGCCAACACAAUGCAUGAAAUCCGUUUUACAGUGCUCGGGCCACAAUAGGGCCGGGGACCAAGCCGACAUUCAGCCAACACUCAGUGAAAUCCGUUUUACAGUGCUCGGGCCACAAUCGGGCCGGGGACCAAGCCGACAUUCAGCCAACACUCACUGAAAUCCGUUUUACAGUGUGUGAGCCAGACCUGGGCCAACACAAUGCAUGAAAUCCGUUUUACAGUGCUCGGGCCACAAUAGGGCCGGGGACCAAGCCGACAUUCAGCCAACACUCAGUGAAAUCCGUUUUACAGUGCUCGGGCCACAAUCGGGCCGGGGACCAAGCCGACAUUCAGCCAACACUCACUGAAAUCCGUUUUACAGUGUGUGAGCCAGACCUGGGCCAACACAAUGCAUGAAAUCCGUUUUACAGUGCUCGGGCCACAAUAGGGCCGGGGACCAAGCCGACAUUCAGCCAACACUCACUGAAAUCCGUUUUACAGUGCUCGGGCCACAAUCGGGCCGGGGACCAAGCCGACAUUCAGCCAACACUCACUGAAAUCCGUUUUACAGUGUGUGAGCCAGACCUGGGCCAACACAAUGCAUGACAGUCAUUUCACAGUGUGUGGGCCAGACCUGGGCCAACAGAAACAAUAAGAGUCAUUUUACAGUGUGUGGGCCAGACCUGGGCCAACACAAACAAUAAGACUCAUUUCACAGUGUGUGGGCCAGACCUGGGCCAGAGCAAAUUCAAAGUGUCGGUUACCAAUGAUCGGGCCAUGUCUGGGCCGGGGACCAAACCAGAAGUGGGCCAACACCCACACUACCCUGAGGCAAGGUAUAGGGCCAGAGGUGGGCCGAGCAAAUUUUGCUAUCUGGGGUGCGACGGUGCAGGCGGUGCAACGCACCGGGGCCCCGGAGCUUCGCAGGGCCCUUUACAUUUCGGAAUUUGCCCCGCACCUCCUCGCUUUGCGACAUAAAGUUAACUGUUGUCAUCAAUGACGCUAUCUCUUCCUAUAUAGCGAGGUGGGCGAACUGAUUGCUAUUUAAAUCCUUCACUAUCUCCUACAACUUGGUCUCAUGGUGGCACCUAUCCAUUCCCCAAUUCUUGUAUUUUCUCCUACUUUCCAUAUCAUUUUGAUUUUACUAAUGACAUUUCAAUGUUAGAAUCAAAAUUAAUCAAUAAAACUAAUACCAUUAAUGAUUAUUUUAUCGUCAACUUACAAGAUGUUGUAACAUGGCCUGCUGGGAAAUCUGUUUGUCCAGUCAUAACAUUUUUACGUCAUCUCUGAUCAUAGGCUGCUGCACAUGCUAGCAAAUGUAAACAGGUAGGCUAUAGGCUACUACUCUUACUAAAGUCGUGGAAAGUCAGCAAAUUAAUAAAGACAAAUCUGAGGAGUGCCAUGGGUCAGGAGCGACUGAGUGGAUUGGUCAUACUCUCCAUCGAAAAUGACAGGGCGAGGACAUUGGAUUUCACCACAAUAGUGAACGAGUUUGCUGAGCAAAAGACACGCAAAGUAGACCUACACUUCUGACGGGUGAGUCCAAGGGUUUUUGCUUAUACGGCAACUGAUCGGCGAACAGGUUAGUUAAAUGGCCGCUGUGCCAUAAUUUGUGUCUGUUUGUUCUUUGAUGAGUUUGCAGAGAGAGGCGCGCUCAAACUCCAAGAUAUCUCCUUCGGGUGCGAGUUAAAUAUCGUAUUCCAAUGUGCAAAAGAACCGCACUCACUAGCUAAUUAUCUUAUAGCCUACUUUAUUGUAGCACCAUGCCUAUAAAACAAACGCGUUUCGGCGUCAAGCCGUCCUCAGUGUGUUCUUUGAUGAGGUCAUUGUUGUGCUGCAAGGGAACGUGGUGUGUUCAGUUGAAUGAAUCUGUAUGCAUUCUGUUUUUGAUCGUAGGCUGUGUGCAAGUUACGCAAAUAGUCGCUGUCCAUAUAAUGACCGUGCGUGCGUUCUUUCCCUCUGUGGUCGGUCGGUGUGUGUCUUGAG